UGAGCCUGAUACGACCACAGUUUAGAUAAGCAUUCUUCCACAAUGAGAAGCCAGGCGUUUUUCUCUUUUUUUCCCCUCCUUCUUCUGAAACAAAGCCCACGAAAUGCUUUCUGGUCUCUGAUGGCAGCUGUGAGUUUGUUUUCAAUCUAGGGUUAUCCCAGGAACACACAGGUUUCUCUCCCAAAAUAGGCAGUGGAGAAAGUGCAGGAGGAGGAGGAGGAGGAGGAGGGAAAGAAGAAGAAGAAGAAGAAGAAGAAGAAGGGAGGGAGGGGAGUUUGGUUAAUGAGCACCAGAUGCCUUACCUUCGCUGGUAGCCACAUUCUUUGGAGCUUUAGUUGGUGUGUGAUCUGUGCUCGAACUUAUGUCAGAGGAGAUGCUUGAGCUCCCUUUACCUGCAGGGGAAACGUGGAAGAAAAAAAACAAGAUUGCUGUUGAAUACGACAACUUUAACACGACUUAUGAGGCUUUAAAAUCCUAUAUUGUGCGAUGACUUUGAAAUAUUGACCCACAUUUGACAUUUUUUCUUUCCUGAACUGAGAACUCUGAGUCUUAUCGUAUGAAAACAGGCUCUUUAUGCUGCGGUCCUGUAGCGUGUCUGCCCGAGAUAAGGCUGGAUCGCCCCUUCGUGAUGUAUUUAAUGAGGCGAGGAGGUAUGAAGUGUAAGGAAAUAUAAAGCCCAUCACUCUCUGCUCUCAUGACAUUUAUGUUCCCGGGUUUUUUGAGGAAUGGUUGGGCCUUGGCUCAUCCACAAAGUCUCGGCCGAUAUGUGUGAGUAAGUGUCCGCUUCUCUUUUUUUGGAAGAAGAAUAAAAGUCUCCUGAAAUGGCCCGUUCGGUCUUCCCUUCCAGAGGACGAGGUCAUGUUGGGGCUGAAGCCGAUCCCAGCGGACAUUAGACCAGAGAGACCUACAGCUGCUGGAAGCUCAUCAAAACCAAACCUCACGAUCUCACAGGUUCUCAUCUGGGAGGUUUGACAUCAUCCUGCUCACAUCUGGCCUCGUCCCAUCAACACGACCAAACACUGGGUUUGCACUUGUAGCUUUACUGAGAUUCAUCCAUGGUGCAACAUCAGCAAAGUGCGAUUCUCUCAAGGAUUAAGUAAAAAGAAAAGUUGGUUUUAUUGAAACUUCUGCCUUCAUCACACUGGAAUGAUGGAAUCUGCUCUUGAACCUUCACAGUCUGGAUUUCUAGGUGGAGCUGGUCCACGUGUUAUUUUUUAACAUCAUGACUUCCAAUCUUUUCUCUGCACUUGUUGACUUAGGAAGAGAGCACACUGGAAUGUUAUUUAUACAAACAUCUCUGCUCCGGACACAGAAACGAUGUGUUCGAUGGAGGGUGUUUUUCUUUUUCUGACUAAUGUUGAGGAUUACAUCUCAGAUGAGAAAGACAGCGGGUGAGG